GAUGAACGCUAGCUACAGGCUUAACACAUGCAAGUCGAGGGGAAACGGCAUUGAGUGCUUGCACUCUUUGGACGUCGACCGGCGCACGGGUGAGUAACGCGUAUCCAACCUUCCCAUUACUGUGGGAUAACCUGCCGAAAGGCAGACUAAUACCGCAUAGUCUUCGAUGACGGCAUCAGAUUUGAAGUAAAGAUUUAUCGGUAAUGGAUGGGGAUGCGUCUGAUUAGCUUGUUGGCGGGGUAACGGCCCACCAAGGCUACGAUCAGUAGGGGUUCUGAGAGGAAGGUCCCCCACAUUGGAACUGAGACACGGUCCAAACUCCUACGGGAGGCAGCAGUGAGGAAUAUUGGUCAAUGGACGGAAGUCUGAACCAGCCAAGUAGCGUGCAGGAAGACGGCCCUAUGGGUUGUAAACUGCUUUUGUAUGGGGAUAAAGUUAGGGACGUGUCCCUAUUUGCAGGUACCAUACUAAUAAGGACCGGCUAAUUCCGUGCCAACAGCCGCGGGAAUACGGAAGGUCCAGGCCUUAUCCGCAUUUAUUGGGUUUAAAGGCAGCGUAGCUGGAAAUUUAGUGUGUUGUGAAAUGUAGACGCUCAACGUCUGAAUUGAGCUCCUGCGUGUUUCUGUGUAUACGCACGAUAUUGCGAAAUUUGUGUA
rnacentral:rRNA from 1 species